UACGAAGGGGGCUAGCGUUGUUCGGAUUUACUGGGCGUAAAGCGCACGUAGGCGGAUCGUUAAGUCGGGGGUGAAAUCCUGGAGCUCAACUCCAGAACUGCCUUCGAUACUGGCGAUCUUGAGUCCGGAAGAGGUGAGUGGAACUCCUAGUGUAGAGGUGGAAUUCGUAGAUAUUAGGAAGAACAUCGAGUGGCGAAGGCGGCUCACUGGUCCGGUACUGACGCUGAGGUGCGAAAGCGUGGGGAGCAAACAGG
rnacentral:rRNA from 1 species